rnacentral:rRNA from 1 species
CACGUAGGGCGCGAGCGUUGUCCGGAAUUACUGGGCGUAAAGCGCACGUAGGCGGUCUUUUAAGUCGGUGGUGAAAUCCUGGAGCUCAACUCCAGAACUGCCUUCGAUACUGGAAGACUUGAGUCCGGGAGAGGUGAGUGGAACUGCGAGUGUAGAGGUGAAAUUCGUAGAUAUUCGCAAGAACACCAGUGGCGAAGGCGGCUCACUGGCCCGGUACUGACGCUGAGGUGCGAAAGCGUGGGGAGCAAACAGG